rnacentral:rRNA from 1 species
CAGCAGCCGCGGUAAUACGAAGGGGGCUGGCGUUGUUCGGAAUUACUGGGCGUAAAGGGCGCGUAGGCGGCCAUUCAAGUUAGAUGUGAAAGCCCUGGGCUCAACCUAGGAAUUGCAUUUGAUACUGUUUGGCUUGAGUUCGGGAGAGGUGAGUGGAAUUCCCAGUGUAGAGGUGAAAUCCGUAGAUAUUGGGAAGAACACCAGUGGCGAAGGCGGCUCACUGGACCGACACUGACGCUGAGGCGCGAAAGCGUGGGGAGCAAACAGGAUUAGAGACCCCCGUAGUCCCUGUCUCUUAUAC